UCCCCUAGUANCUGCGAGUGAAGCGGGAAAAGCUCAAAUUUAAAAUCUGGUAGUCUUAUGGCUGCCCGAGUUGUAAUCUAGAGAAGUGUUACCCGCGUUGGACCGUGUACAAGUCUCCUGGAAAGGAGCAUCAUAGAGGGUGAGAAUCCCGUCUUUGACACGGACUGCCAGGGCUUUGUGGUACACUCUCAAAGAGUCGAGUUGUUUGGGAAUGCAGCUCAAAAUGGGUGGUAAAUUCCAUCUAAAGCUAAAUAUUGGCGAGAGACCGAUAGCGAACAAGUACCGUGAGGGAAAGAUGAAAAGAACUUUGGAAAGAGAGUUAAACAGUACGUGAAAUUGCUGAAAGGGAAACGCUUGAAGUUAGUCGCGUUGGCUGGAAAUCAACCCUUUGGGUGUACUUUCUAGUCGACGGGUCAGCAUCAAUUUUGAUUGUUGGAUAAAGGCUUAGGGAAUGUGGCAUCUUCGGAUGUGUUAUAGCCCUAGGUUGCAUACAACAGUUGGGAUUGAGGAACUCAGCACGCCGAAAGGCCGGGUAUUUUACCACGUUCGUGCUUAGGAUGCUGGCAUAAUAGCUUUAAUCGACCCGUCUUGAAACACGGACCAAGGAGUCUAACAUGCCUGCGAGUAUUUGGGUGGAAAACCCGGAUGCGUAAUGAAAGUGAAAGUUGAGAACCCUGUCGUGGGGUGCAUCGACGCCCGGACUUGAUGUUUACUGACGGUUCCGCGGUAGAGCAUGUAUGUUGGGACCCGAAAGAUGGUGAACUAUGCCUGAAUAGGGUGAAGCCAGAGGAAACUCUGGUGGAGGCUCGUAGCGAUCUA
rnacentral:rRNA from 1 species